rnacentral:lncRNA from 1 species
ACAAUGGGGGCCCAAGGUGAGAUGAAGCUGUAAUCUCACUGGAAGGACUAGAGGUUAGAGGAGACC